GUGUAACAUGUAAAACCGCGAGAAACGUCGCGUCGUAAUACCUACAGCGAAGAAUAUAGUGGCACUCCGACUUUCAGGCCACGAAUUCAGUCUUAGAGGCACGCUAUAAAAGGCUUUAAGAGUUUCCCCGUGUACGCGCGAAUUGAGCGAGAUUUGCAUGGCAGUGGCUCGUGGCGGGAAUUCCGCGUGAAAUGUCGAGCGACUUUUUUAAACGGCCUAACCUAAUGAACGCGACAGCCGGCGACAUUGUUCAACUGUUCCACGGCCAAGCUGGACGGCUACACGAUGGUAUCCACCGUUUCUCACUCGUUCGUCAUCAAGUAUCAAGUUUCCGCCACGCGUAUCGAGCGUUCCAUCACCCAUCGAACGAGGAAACCGGGCGAUUCGCGGUCGCCAGUCGGGAGACGAAGAAAAUUACACGAGGCGCGGGACAGGCGGUAUUUUGCGGCGCAGAAUGUCAAUUAAACGGUGUGGCCGAUUAACCAUAACCAAAACCUCGACAAAGGCCAGGACCCGUGCACCGUUUCGCACUCCGGUGGGUUCAUCACGCGAUAAUUUAUAUGGUAAUUCCAGGGACGUAAUAAGUCCCCCUUGGCAAACUCUGGGCUGGUGGUGCCACUACACACGAGCCAACGUAUCCAGCCCACGUUCUACCACGCUGACCCCGGACGUUCCAUCGGGAGAGAGAACGGGUCUGCCAUGUACACAUCAUUACUAAAAGCGGUCAUCGAUUCAUCGAGCCUCGGACCAGCGACGCCCGCUCUCUCGUCUGUCCGUCGAUCCUGCUCUCUUGUAAGCGCGUACACGCGCCUUUAUGCGCGAUCACGACCUCUGAUCUAUGCGGUAUACGUGUGUGUGCGUGCGCGUGUGCGCGAGAGAGUGUGUAUAGACGCGCGGCCAUUGUCGAAUUUUCCCACCACGAUUCUAUGUGUUGGAUUUAAUUAACACCAUCUCGUUAACUUUCGUUACGGAUCGCCGUGUUCCGAUAGGAUCGACGGAUAAAGAUGAAUUUAAAUAUCGAGACCUUUGGCCCUCGUGAUUAGCCUCGGCUCUAUGAUGGACUCGUUAGAUUAUACGUAUGCGGCCAGACAUGCCUUUUUCUCGAAUUUCGUUUUUUCGUUGGGAUAUGAUGGAUAUUGGUGCGGUUUUUUUUCUUGUUUGUGGUGUGUUUUUUGGUAAAAAGUUCUUUGUGGAAUUUUUAGGUAAAGAUUAGGUUAGGUAUUAAAUAUACGAUGAUUCUUUGGUAGAUAUAAGAAGGUUUGGAACAAUCCGUGUGAAAUACCUUCAGAUUUUUAAUUUCUCACUCAUGAAUAUAGUGAAAUUGUUAAUAUUAAAAAUAUUUUGGAUUGUGAAAUAUGAAUAAUAAUUAUUAAAUAUUCCUAAGAUAUCAAGUCUGAAAGAAAUGAUUCUAGGUUUCCAAUUUUUAUUUUUAUCCAUCAAGAUGUCUUCGAAAAGAAUCUACUUAAAUUUUACAUCGCGCAGUUUAUAUAAAGCUGCUACAUGGAUCCUCUUCUUAAAAUCUACCAUCUUUGAUUUAUGACAUAUUGAUUUACAUAAAAUUACAAAAGAAGGAAAUUAUGAAUCAUUAAGAAGUGAAUAAUUACUUAUAUAUUAAUCUAGUCUUUCCUCGAAAUUUUUAAAUAGAUCCAGUGUCCGGAUAUUUGAUGAUAUUUUUAAGUGAAAUUUUAUAUGGCCAAGUUCGGUACACAUUUCGUUACAGAUAGGAUGGCGAGUAAUUGAAGUUCUUGAACGAAACGAUUAUCGAACAACCGCGACGUGAAAUGUAUUCCAAAAGUGACUGCACUCAGGGACGAUGUUGAUUCACGCGGACGAGAGAGAGAAUAUUAAAAGCAACGAUAAUCGAUGAGGAUGGAUGAGGUUAUAACGUUACGGUAGAACGAUUUACUCAUAAAUUUUGUUUGCUUCCGCGAGAUCGAAAAACCGCGACGAGCGGGGGUAGAGGGUGAUGUUACACAAUAAAAUAUAUGUGUACGCCGUGUAAUUUUCAAAUAAAUCGAAUACAUCAACAAUAAGUGAUUGUACUGUGCAGUAUAAUAAAAAAUUUGUGUAGUAUAAUAAAAAAUUUAUUGCUUCUAAAAUUAAUGUGAAAAAAAAAAUUCAUGUUAGCGAUGAAUGAGAAAAUUUUAAUUUAUUAUAACAAAUAACGUAUGCAUAUUAUAAUUAAUAAUCAGACAAAAAUGAAAAUUCAGGUGGUUUUAUAAAAAUUUUAAUUUUUCACGAAUUGAUCAUUUUUUUAAAAAAGUAUGGACAUCUAGUUAAGCAUAUUGUCGAUACGUGGCGCUGCAUUGUUCUGUUUGUCAGCUUUGUGUUAUUACUUUGUGUUAUUCUACAGUUACAGCAAAAUAAUUGAAAAAUAAACACUUCGACAGAUA